GAUGAACGCUGGCGGCGUGCCUAAUACAUGCAAGUCGAGCGAACGGACGAGAAGCUUGCUUCUCUGAUGUUAGCGGCGGACGGGCGAGUAACACGUGGAUAACCUACCUAUAAGACUGGGAUAACUUCGGGAAACCGGAGCUAAUACCGGAUGAUAUUUUGAACCGCAUGGUUCAAAAGUGAAAGACGGUCUUGCUGUCACUUAUAGAUGGAUCCGCGCUGCAUUAGCUAGUUGGUAAGGUAACGGCUUACCAAGGCAACGAUGCAUAGCCGACCUGAGAGGGGGAUCGGCCACACUGGAACGGGGACACGGUCCAGACUCCUACGGGAGGCAGCAGUAGGGAAUCUUCCGCAAUGGGCGAAAGCCUGACGGAGCAACGCCGCGUGAGUGAUGAAGGUCUUCGGAUCGUAAAACUCUGUUAUUAGGGAAGAACAUAUGUGUAAGUAACUGUGCACAUCUUGACGGUACCUAAUCAGAAAGCCACGGCUAACUACGUG
rnacentral:rRNA from 1 species